rnacentral:rRNA from 1 species
GAUGAACGCUGGCGGCGUGCCUAAUACAUGCAAGUCGAGCGAACAGACGAGGAGCUUGCUCCUCUGACGUUAGCGGCGGACGGGUGAGUAACACGUGGAUAACCUACCUAUAAUACUGGGAUAAAUUCGGGAAACCGGAGCUAAUACCGGAUAAUAUAUUGAACCGCAUGGUUCAAUAGUGAAAGACGGUUUUGCUGUCACUUAUAGAUGGAUCCGCGCCGCAUUAGCUAGUUGGUAAGGUAACGGCUUACCAAGGCAACGAUGCGUAGCCGACCUGAGAGGGUGAUCGGCCACACUGGAACUGAGACACGGUCCAGACUCCUACGGGAGGCAGCAGUAGGGAAUCUUCCGCAAUGGGCGAAAGCCUGACGGAGCAACGCCGCGUGAGUGAUGAAGGUCUUCGGAUCGUAAAACUCUGUUAUUAGGGAAGAACAAAUGUGUAAGUAACUAUGCACGUCUUGACGGUACCUAAUCAGAAAGCCACGGCUAACUACGUG